GCCGUCAAUUCCUUUGAGUUUUAACCUUGCGGCCGUACUCCCCAGGCGGUCGACUUAUCGCGUUAGCUGCGCCACUAAGAUCUCAAGGAUCCCAACGGCUAGUCGACAUCGUUUACGGCGUGGACUACCAGGGUAUCUAAUCCUGUUUGCUCCCCACGCUUUCGCACCUCAGUGUCAGUAUCAGUCCAGGUGGUCGCCUUCGCCACUGGUGUUCCUUCCUAUAUCUACGCAUUUCACCGCUACACAGGAAAUUCCACCACCCUCUACCGUACUCUAGCUCAGUAGUUUUGGAUGCAGUUCCCAGGUUGAGCCCGGGGAUUUCACAUCCAACUUGCUGAACCACCUACGCGCGCUUUACGCCCAGUAAUUCCGAUUAACGCUUGCACCCUUCGUAUUACCGCGGCUGCUGGCACGAAGUUAGCCGGUGCUUAUUCUGUUGGUAACGUCAAAACAGCAAGGUAUUAACUUACUGCCCUUCCUCCCAACUUAAAGUGCUUUACAAUCCGAAGACCUUCUUCACACACGCGGCAUGGCUGGAUCAGGCUUUCGCCCAUUGUCCAAUAUUCCCCACUGCUGCCUCCCGUAGGAGUCUGGACCGCGUCUCAGUUCCAGUGUGACUGAUCAUCCUCUCAGACCAGUUACGGAUCGUCGCCUUGGUAGGCCUUUACCCCACCAACUAGCUAAUCCGACCUAGGCUCAUCUGAUAGCGUGAGGUCCGAAGAUCCCCCACUUUCUCCCUCAGGACGUAUGCGGUAUUAGCGCCCGUUUCCGGACGUUAUCCCCCACUACCAGGCAGAUUCCUAGGCAUUACUCACCCGUCCGCCGCUGAAUCCAGGAGCAAGCUCCCUUCAUCCGCUCGACUUGCAUGUGUUAGGCCUGCCGCCAGCGUUCAAUCUGAGCCAGGAUCAAACCCUC
rnacentral:rRNA from 1 species